rnacentral:misc_RNA from 1 species
GAUGAAGAACGCAGCGAAAUGCGAUAAGUAAUGUGAAUUGCAGAAUUCAGUGAAUCAUCGAAUCUUUGAACGCACCUUGCGCCCUUUGGCUAUUCCGAAGGGCAUGCCUGUUUGAGUAUCAUGAACACCUCAACUCUCAUGGCUUGCCAUGAUGAGCUUGGACUUUUGGGGGUCUUGCUGGCCUGUGGUCAGCUCCUCUCAAAUGAAUUAGCCUGCCAGUGUUUGGUGGCAUCACAAGUGUGAUAACUAUCUACGCUUGUGGUUUUCCACCAGGUAACCUUCAGUGAUGAAGGUUCGCUGGGGCUCAUAAACGUCUCUCCUCAGUGAGGACAGCUCUUUGAACGUUUGAUCUCAAAUCAGGUAGGACUACCCGCUGAACUUAAGCAUAUCAAUAAGCGGAGGA